rnacentral:rRNA from 1 species
CAGCAGCCGCGGUAACACGGAGGAUCCAAGCGUUAUCCGGAUUUAUUGGGUUUAAAGGGUGCGUAGGCGGCCUAUUAAGUCAGGGGUGAAAGACGGUAGCUCAACUAUCGCAGUGCCUUUGAUACUGAUGGGCUUGAAUGUACUUGAGGUAGGCGGAAUGUGACAAGUAGCGGUGAAAUGCAUAGAUAUGUCACAGAACACCAAUUGCGAAGGCAGCUUACUAAAGUAUGAUUGACGCUGAGGCACGAAAGCGUGGGGAUCAAACAGGAUUAGAUACCCGCGUAGUCCCUGUCUCUUAUAC